rnacentral:rRNA from 1 species
UAGUCCACGCCGUAAACGAUGAGUGCUAGGUGUUGCGGGUAUUGACCCCUGCAGUGCCACAGCUAACGCAUUAAGCACUCCGCCUGGGGAGUACGGUCGCAAGAUUAAAACUCAAAGGAAUUGACGGGGACCCGCACAAGCGGUGGAGCAUGUGGUUUAAUACGAUGCAACGCGAAGAACCUUACCUAGGCUUGACAUGCCGUCAUAGACUGUGAAAGCAGUUGUCAGUUCGGCUGGACGUGCACAGGUGCUGCAUGGCUGUCGUCAGCUCGUGUCGUGAGAUGUUGGGUUAAGUCCCCGCAACGAGCGCAACCCUCACUGUUAGUUGCCAGCAUUUAGUUGGGCACUCUAGCGGAACUGCCGGUGCUAAGCCGGAGGAAGGUGGGGAUGACGUCAAGUCCUCAUGGCCCUUAUGGGUAGGGCUACACACGUGCUACAUGGCGCUGACAGAGGGUUAAUCCCUAAAAGGCGUACUCAGUUCGGAUUGUCUU